rnacentral:rRNA from 1 species
UACGAAGGGGGCUAGCGUUGCUCGGAAUCACUGGGCGUAAAGGGUGCGUAGGCGGAUUGUUAAGUCAGGGGUGAAAUCCUGGAGCUCAACUCCAGAACUGCCUUUGAUACUGGGGAUCUCGAGUCCGGGAGAGGUGAGUGGAACUCCGAGUGUAGAGGUGAAAUUCGUAGAUAUUCGGAAGAACACCAGUGGCGAAGGCGGCUCACUGGCCCGGUACUGACGCUGAGGUGCGAAAGCGUGGGGAGCAAACAGG